rnacentral:lncRNA from 12 species
AUCCAUCUCUCUCUUUUUCUCUUAUCUCGCUCGCUGCCUCCUCAGCCGUCUGCAUCAUCCCACCAUCUCUCCUUUCCCCGGCAGCUGUCACUUCCUCCCUUCGUCUCUCCCCUUAUCUCGCCCCUUUCCCUUUCGUCCUCUGUCAUUCUCUCUCUCACUCACCCCAUCUGUCUUUUUUUCGCCUCGUCCCUUCCUUCAAACUGUCAGGUGUCUUGUCUCUACCCUCUCAUCUCUCGCUCGCUGCCUCCUCAGCCGUCUGCAUCAUCCCACCAUCUCUCCUUUCCCCGGCAGCUGUCACUUCCUCCCUUCGUCUCUCCCCUUAUCUCGCCCCUUUCCCUUUCGUCCUCUGUCAUUCUCUCUCUCACUCACCCCAUCUGUCUUUUUUUCGCCUCGUCCCUUCCUUCAAACUGUCAGGUGUCUUGUCUCUACCCUCUCAUCUCUUGCUCCCGUUUUUUUUUCUUUUCCUCUCUAUUCAUGAACCUGUCGUCCUCUCCUCUCGCUUUCAAUUUGAACGGCCCUUUUUAUCAGUUUAUUAAAGCUACUGUCACAACACAAUUUGUAGGGAGGAACCAAUAAUUGAAAUGGCGUAUGAUGAAUGGUUCAUACACAAACAAUCUUGUGUUCUGUCUGUCUGACAUUCUGGAUACCUUUCAUUUCCAUCAUGCUCUCCUUCCUGUGACCUUUGCCCUGUAACACCCCGCUCUCCUUUGGUUUUUGCACCAGGAGCAUUUCACAGGAGACCAAAAGCGAGGAGCAGAGGUGAAUCGUGUCAGUGCUCUAAAUCAAACCCCACUCACUUCUGACCCUGUGUUGUGUAAACCCUGAAAAAAAAACAAGAAUGCUGUUAAAAACGUGAGUGCAGUGAUGCUUGGUUUGCUAGGUGCCGUAAAGUUUAAUACUUAGCUUUAAUAUGAGCAGUAGUAAUGGUGAUGUGAGCCACGCUAACAAGCAAGACCAGCAUGCUGUGAUGGCUGGAAGUCAUUCUGAACAACUUCUGCCUGUCUUGAUGAAGUCUUUCAGCUUCCAGUAGCUAUGGAAGCCCUCAAGACAGCAUAUAGAAACGCUGCUUAGCUUGCACCUCCAUAAAUAGACUCCAGAGAAGUACAGAGUGUUCAAUUCACCAGCCUACAUGUGACAGAGUCAUGAUCAACCAAAAAAAAAAAGAAAAAAAAGAAAAGCAGAAUAGACAAAAGUCUUGGAGUUUUAGUAGGAUAUUACAAAGAGCCUGAAGCCUGAAGUGUAAAUUGAACUUUAAAUUUAACAUAAAAUGACAUGGGCAGAGUAUUUUACGUUUGUAAAAUGACCCAGAAUAUUCAAUUAGGGAAAAAGUAGAAAAGCAUUAAAUAAAUGUAAAUAUUCUGAUUCAUUAAUUUCUUAAAUGUGUGCAUUGUUAAUUUAUUUAUGUGUGUAAACAUUAAAACAUAAAAUAUGGAUUUGUGUUGGGGCAUGAAAUCUAAUAU